rnacentral:rRNA from 1 species
ACUCCUACGGGAGGCAGCAGUGGGGAAUAUUGGUCAAUGUGCGAAAGCGCGAACCAGCAACGCCGCGUGUGCGAUGAAGGCCUUCGGGUCGUAAAGCACUUUUUGCAGGGAAGAGGAAGGACGGUACCUGCAGAAUAAGUCUCGGCUAACUACGUGCCAGCAGCCGCGGUAAAACGUAGGAGACGAGCGUUAUCCGGAUUUAUUGGGUUUAAAGGGUGCGUAGGCGGACAAAUAAGUCAGUGGUGAAACCCUGCAGCUUAACUGUAGAUGUGCCGUUGAUACUGUUAGUCUUGAGUAUGGUCAAGGUAGGCGGAAUGUGUAAUGUAGCGGUGAAAUGCUUAGAUAUUACACAGAACACCGAUUGCGAAGGCAGCUUGCUGGGCCAAUACUGACGCUGAUGCACGAAAGCGUGGGGAUCGAACAGGAUUAGAUACCCUGGUAGUCCACGCCGUAAACGAUGAUCACUCGCUGUUGGCGAUACACAGUCAGCGGCUAAGCAAAAGCAUUAAGUGAUCCACCUGGGGAGUACGGCC